AUUGAACGCUGGCGGCAGGCCUAACACAUGCAAGUCGAACGAGUGGCGGACGGGUGAGUCAUGUCUGGGGAACUGCCUGCUGGAGGGGGAUAACUACUGGAAACGGUAGCUAAUACCGCAUACCAUCAGAUGUGCCCAGAUGGGAUUAGCUAGUUGGUGGGGUAACUGCUCACCAAGGCGACGAUCACUAGCUGGUCUGAGAGGAUGAACAGCCACACUGGAAUUGAGACACGGUCCAGACUCCUACGGGAGGUAGCAGUGGGGAAUAUUGCACAAGGGGCGCAAGCCUGAUGCAGCCAUGCCGCGUGUAUGAAGAAGGCCUUCGGGUUGUAAAGUACUUUCAGCGGGGAGGCGUUACCCGCAGAAGAAGCACCGGCUAACGCCGGGCCAGCCGCCGCGGUAAUUC
rnacentral:rRNA from 1 species